AUUGAACGCUGGCGGAAUGCUUUACACAUGCAAGUCGAGCGGCAGCGCGGGGCAACCUGGCGGCGAGCGGCGAACGGGUGAGUAAUACAUCGGAACGUACCCAGUUGUGGGGGAUAGCCCGGCGAAAGCCGGAUUAAUACCGCAUACGACCUGAGGGUGAAAGGGGGGGAGUCGCAAGACCUCUCGCAGUUGGAGCGGCCGAUGGCGGAUUAGCUAGUUGGUAGGGUAAAGGCCUACCAAGGCGACGAUCCGUAGCUGGUCUGAGAGGACGACCAGCCACACUGGAACUGAGACACGGUCCAGACUCCUACGGGAGGCAGCAGUGGGGAAUUUUGGACAAUGGGGGCAACCCUGAUCCAGCCAUUCCGCGUGAGUGAAGAAGGCCUUCGGUUGUAAGACUCUUUCGGUCAGGAACGAAAUUAGCCGCUUCUAAUAAAGACGGUAGAUGACGGUACC
rnacentral:rRNA from 1 species